rnacentral:rRNA from 1 species
GAAGCAAAAGCCACCCGAACCACUCCCUCGCUCUCAUGCACUCAUUCCCACCCACUCUCUUAUCCACACAACACAGGGCUGGGCAGGUGGGGACGGCGGCGAAGGCGUCUGGUGGUCGAAGCGGCAGAUGGUGGCGUCCCCCCUGCAAUGGCGGCGGUGGCUUCCUGCCGGCAACAGCCAACCCAUUUCGCACGUGCCGCCACGUCCUGGUGGAGUUGGAGAUGGCGAAGGCGGAGGCGACGGCGGCACAUCAGGGGGUAGGUGAAGGCGUACUGCAGUCGGAGCGGCGGAUGGUGGAAAGAGAUGCAAGAGGGCGUCCGUUUGGCUGGGCACCAGGUUGCGGUCUUGUGCGUCGCUGGAUUUGAAGGAGGGGACGACCAACGUUGGGCAGGCGAGGACAUCGACGAAGGCUUCCGGCACUGGCGGCGGGCUUCGGCCUCGGUCGUCGCCGGAUUUGGAGGUUUUGAAGGAGGGUUGCGGCCAUGCGGGCACCAAGGUGCGGCCUUCGCAGGUGGUGGCGUAUGCAGAGGCUUGAGCGGGUGAGCGGUGCUGCUCGACAGAGGAGGAGGAGGCGGCCAAGGCUCUUCUUCUUCACUCGUCGGAUCCCGACGGCCAUCUUUCUCAUCUGGGUGGUGAACACGGGGCCAACGCCACGCCCUCGACCAGAUGUCAACUUCCCCCAUGCCCUUGGGAGCAUGCUUUUUCAGGUUAAUCAUGCUCGCACCUCCUGUACUAGUCGGUAGUAAUAUAAACUACUACCAAAUUACUAUGGAACACCUCUUGUAUUACCAUUAGAAACCAAUCCAAAAUUGAGUCGUAAGGAAGUUUACCAUUGUUACUAUAAAAUACGUAGUGUUUACUAUCAAAUCUCCUCUUAGUAGUAGUGGGUGAUAAAACAGUUUAUCAUUUUUAACAUCAAGUACUAGGUGUAUUACUAUCAAGAAUCAACCCAUAAUUGAGUCGUAACACAGUGUAGAAUCUUUACUGCAAAACACAUUGUGCUUUACUAUUGAAUUUGACGCCCGUUUUUAGUUGUAAAAUAUUUUUACUACUUUCCAAUGAUUUUAGUACAUGUCCAUUACCAAGUGAUCACUUCAUUUUACCACCAGAGGAUCAACCGAGUGAUGCAUGUCACAUUGUAAUUGUUUUUGUUCCGUUCUCAUAUAUUUCAAUACCGAUUGCUAUGGUUAAUUAGUGGGUCAUAGUGUGUACUGUGUAGUGCAUGCAGAAUCAGGUAACACCGUUACCGUAAAGGCUGGUAUGCUUACUGUCAUAAGCGAGAAGUGUUGCGAGACGGAGAUGAGGCUUCAGCAACAAGAAUUAAUUCCAUUACUAUUUCCCCUACCGUCCUUUACAUCGUUUGCACAAACGAAAACGAUUGGGAGGUUGGUCCAGCGACGCCCAGAGCCGGGCAAUUAGCGACCAGCGCGUACGAUUAGGCAUUCUACAUUCUGCGCUCCCGCGUAGUAUAGUGUUACUGUAUAUAUAUACUAGCUGGAUGCCCGUGCGUUGCCACGAAAUGGCAAAUAAU